GUACACAUAUCAGCAGUUGAGGUCACUGGUUGUCUGGUACCCAAAUGGGAAUCGGCUGCUGCAGUGCUGCUACUGACACAGAUAUACUCUGUACAAAUUCCGACCGGCCAACAUUUGGUGGGGACCUGUUCAAUGAAAGAUGCAGCCGAAAGCAAAAGCUAGUGAGCUACAAUCCAGGUCUGAUGUCUCAGAUUGAAAAGUGUUUGAAAAGGUGUGCCUAGGCGCUGAGGCACAAGGCGUUAGGGGUCAUGGGCCUUUGUGGUCUAGGUGAAGCGAUUUUGAUGAGGUGGGCAGUUUAAGGCGCACUAAGAUUUUUUUUUUUAAUUUUAUUUUUUAUGUGUAUCUUACUUCAACGAGGUGCACCAAGGCACACAGAUUCGCACCUUGGGCGCAACCAACUCUGAAACGCCUUGGUGUGCCUUGAGACUGUUUGAGAUGAUAUAUUUUUAUUUUUACAAUAUUACACUAUUGGUUUUCUUUAUGCUACGCAUUUGGUUAUCUGUGGUUUGAAGCAAGCUCAAAUGAACAACGGUGGAGUCACAAUUAAGAAAACUUGGGACGAUGACAGUACAUUUGAAAUUGUGAUCCCCUCCAUUUUUUUCUUGCGUGCACUAAACAAUAAAUCUAUAUUUUUAAGA